GACGAACGCUGGCGGCGUGCUUAACACAUGCAAGUCGAACGGAAAGGCGCUGCUUUUGUGGGGUGCUCGAGUGGCGAACGGGUGAGUAACACGUGAGUAACCUGCCCUUGACUGUGGGAUAACUUCAGGAAACUGGGUCUAAUACCGGAUAGGAGCUCCUGCUGCAUGGGGGGGGUUGGAAAGCUUCGGCGGUUGGGGAUGGAUUCGCGGCUUAUCAGCUUGUUGGUGGGGUAGGGGCUUCCCAGGGCUUUGACGGGUAGCCGGCCUGAGAGGGUGGACGCCCACCUUGGGCCUGCGGUACGGCCCAGAGUCCUACGGGAGGCAGCAGUGGGGAAUCUUGCCCAAUGGGCGGAAGCCUGAUGCAGCAACGCCGCGUGCGGGAUGCCGGUCUGCGGGUUGUAAACCGCUUUGGCCUGUGACGAAGCGUGAGUGACGGUAAUGGGUAAAGAAGCACCGGCUAACUACGUG
rnacentral:rRNA from 1 species